UACAGAGGUCCCGAGCGUUGUUCGGAUUCAUUGGGCGUAAAGGGCGCGUAGGCGGCGGGGUAAGUUUGAUGUGAAAUCCCGGGGCUCAACCCUGGAAUUGCAUUGAAUACUACCUUGCUAGAGUACCGGAGAGGAAACUGGAAUUUACGGUGUAGCAGUGAAAUGCGUAGAGAUCGUAAGGAAGACCAGUGGCGAAGGCGAGUUUCUGGACGGUAACUGACGCUGAGGCACGAAGGCCAGGGGAGCAAACGGG
rnacentral:rRNA from 1 species